rnacentral:misc_RNA from 1 species
GCCACUAUUCUCGGCACGUGUGCUUUGGGGCAUGCGGGCCGGUUGUGAGCGGACCGGCGCGGGGAAGGGUCCCCGGUGGCCGGCCGGUUGAAAUGCAGCGCGAGCUGAGCAUGCGGCACACGCAGCGGCGUACUAGUUCCCGACGGGGAUUUGACUGCGCCCUAGGUGGUCUGGGUGGUCGCGCGAGCUCGUGGGCCCGGGAGCAGCAGGGUUGGCGCCCGCUGCUCACCCACUCU